rnacentral:rRNA from 1 species
GCUCCAGACUCCUACGGGAGGCAGCAGUGAGGAAUAUUGGUCAAUGGUCGGAAGGCUGAACCAGCCAAGUCGCGUGAGGGAAUAAGGCCCUAUGGGUCGUAAACCUCUUUUGUCAGGGAGCAAAGGCGUCCACGAGUGGACGAAAGGAGAGUACCUGAAGAAAAAGCAUCGGCUAACUCCGUGCCAGCAGCCGCGGUAAUACGGAGGAUGCGAGCGUUAUCCGGAUUUAUUGGGUUUAAAGGGUGCGCAGGCGGAUUUUUAAGUCAGCGGUCAAAUCGUGGGGCUCAACCCCAUCCAGCCGUUGAAACUGGGGAUCUAGAGUGUGCGAGAGGUAUGCGGAAUGCGUGGUGUAGCGGUGAAAUGCAUAGAUAUCACGCAGAACCCCGAUUGCGAAGGCAGCAUACCGGUGCACAACUGACGCUCAGGCACGAAAGCGUGGGUAUCGAACAGGAUUAGAUACCCCCGUA